CUAGAUCUGUGUUUAGGUUAGAACAGUAGAUAUGGGUAGUUAAGACUAGGGGCAUGGGGAAUCUGAUCCUAGAUCUGUGUUUAGGUUAGAACAGUAGAUAUGGGUAGUUAAGACUAGGGGCAUGGGGAAUCUGAUCCUAGAUCUGUGUUUAGGUUAGAACAGUAGAUAUGGGUAGUUAAGACUAGGGGCAUGAAUCUGAUCCUAGAUCUGUGUUUAGGUUAGAACAGUAGAUAUGGGUAGUUAAGACUAGGGGCAUGAAUCUGAUCCUAGAUCUGUGUUUAGGUUAGAACAGUAGAUAUGGGUAGUUAAGACUAGGGGCAUGAAUCUGAUCCUAGAUCUGUGUUUAGGUUAGAACAGUAGAUAUGGGUAGUUAAGACUAGGGGCAUGAAUCUGAUCCUAGAUCUGUGUUUAGGUUAGAACAGUAGAUAUGGGUAGUUAAGACUAGGGGCAUGGGGAAUCUGAUCCUAGAUCUGUGUUUAGGUUAGAACAGUAGAUAUGGGUAGUUAAGACUAGGGGCAUGGGGAAUCUGAUCCUAGAUCUGUGUUUAGGUUAGAACAGUAGAUAUGGGUAGUUAAGACUAGGGGCAUGGGGAAUCUGAUCCUAGAUCUGUGUUUAGGUUAGAACAGUAGAUAUGGGUAGUUAAGACUAGGGGCAUGGGGAAUCUGAUCCUAGAUCUGUGUUUAGGUUAGAACAGUAGAUAUGGGUAGUUAAGACUAGGGGCAUGGGGAAUCUGAUCCUAGAUCUGUGUUUAGGUUAGAUAUGGGUAGGGACUCGGCAAUGUCCCAAUUCUCUCCCCUUCCUCCCAAAGUACACACUUCCUCACUUGAAAGGAAAUUAGUGGUAAAUGGAAGCUCUAAUCCAGGUUAACACCAAUCAUUUUUUAACAUUUGUGUUUAUA